GACGAAGGGGGCUAGCGUUGUUCGGAAUUACUGGGCGUAAAGCGCGUGUAGGCGGUUGCCCAAGUCGGGUGUGAAAGCCUUGAGCUCAACUCAAGAAAUGCACUCGGUACUGGGUGACUAGAGGACCGGAGAGGAUAGUGGAAUUUCCAGUGUAGUGGUGAAAUACGUAGAGAUUGGGAAGAACACCAGUGGCGAAGGCGGCUAUCUGGACGGUUUCUGACGCUAAGACGCGAAAGCGUGGGGAGCAAACAGG
rnacentral:rRNA from 1 species